rnacentral:pre_miRNA from 1 species
AUGAUUGGAAGGUUUAUGUUAUAUAUCUGAAGUAUUGUCCCAAUGAUCAUUAAAGUAUAAUGGUCAAAUUGUGCUCUUUGGUUAACAAAGUCUUUCUUGUGUAAGAAUUUAAUGUUACAAGGAGUUGUUAGAUAACCUUAACAAGUUAUUUAACACUAAACUUUGACAGAGAAAAGAUUAUGUUCACCAAAGAAACAAGCUUGUGAUGUUUCUGAUCUUGAACAUUGUCUUUACCCUUUGAUGAUCAUUGGUGUUUCUGAUCUUGAACAUUGUCUUUACCCUUUGAUGAUCAUUGGGACAAUACUUUAGAUAUAUAACAAAAAUCUUCUAACAAUCAU